ACAUCCCCACACACCCCCACACAUCCACACACACCCCACACCCCACACACACCCUCACACCCUCACACAUCCUCACACUCCCACACAUCCACACACACCCUCACAUCCCCACACAUCCACACACACCCCACACACCCACACACACCCUCACAUCCCCACACCCUCACAUAUCCUCACACUCCCACACAUCCCCACACAUCCCCACACCCCACAUCCACACACAUCCACACACAUCCUCACACAUCCUCACACACAUACACACACCCUCACACACCACACA
rnacentral:lncRNA from 1 species